rnacentral:lncRNA from 1 species
AUCUCAUCCAUCCAUCAAGAUUUAAUAUGGACCGUCCGAUCGUAAUUUAUUUGGGAUUAAAUCUGGGCUGUUCAUCGCGAUGCGAUCUGGGCCAUCCGUGCCUAAUUGAAUUUAGGUCGUCCGUACGCGUGAGAUCUGGGCUGUCCGUGUGCACAUUUGAUCUGGGCAGUCCGUGCGCGCGGGAACGGAUCUGGGCGGUCCGAUCAUGCACAUGGCCCGUCCCGUGUCAGCAUUCCUUGCCACGCGGCGUGUCCUGGUUGGCCGGGG